UACGGGGGGGGCGAGCGUUGUUCGGAAUUACUGGGCGUAAAGGGCUCGUAGGCGGCCAACUAAGUCAGACGUGAAAUCCCUCGGCUUAACCGGGGAACUGCGUCUGAUACUGGAUGGCUUGAGUUCGGGAGAGGGAUGCGGAAUUCCAGGUGUAGCGGUGAAAUGCGUAGAUAUCUGGAGGAACACCGGUGGCGAAGGCGGCAUCCUGGACCGAUACUGACGCUGAGGAGCGAAAGCCAGGGGAGCAAACGGG
rnacentral:rRNA from 1 species